rnacentral:lncRNA from 1 species
UUUUCUUUUCUUUUUUUUUUUUUUUUUUUCUGUCUUCUUGCCUUUUCUAGGGCCACUCCCUCGCGGCAUAUGGAGGUUUCCAGGCUAGGGGUCGAAUCGGAGCUGUAGCCACCGGCCCACGCCAGAGCCACAGCAAUGGGGGAUCCAAGCUGCAUCUGUGACUUACACCACAGCUCACGGCCACGCCAGAUCCUAAACCCACCAAGCAAGGCCAGAGAUCGAACCCACAACCCCAUGGUUCCUAGUUGGAUUCGUUAACCACUGCACCACAACGGGAACUCCUGGAACUCCCUACUACUUAAUUUUCAUAGUUUUUUUGCAGAUUCCUGUAUUUUCACCCAAACAAUCACAUCUUUUGUGAAUAAGGACAGCUUUACUGUGAAAGAAGUACAUUUUAUGUAGCAGGAUGUGGAGAAACUGGACCUCUCACACAUUACCGUUGGGAAUAUGAAAUGGUGUGGCUGCUUUGGACAGUAGUUGCUAAUUCCUCAAAAUAGUAAAGAUGAAGUUAGUGUGUGAUCCAGCCAUUCCACUUCUAGCUACAGCAAAUGGAACUUUCUGAGCCAGGGAUUGAAUCCGAGCCACAGCUUUGGCAACCCUGGAUCGUCUAACCCACUGCACUGGGCCAGGGAUCAAACCCACUCCUCCACAGCAACCCGAGCCACUGCAUUUGGAUCCUUAACCCACUGUGUCAUGGCAGGAACACAAGAAGGUAUAUUUUCAUCACUGGAAAAAUAAAAAAAAUAAUGUUACAAAAACGUAGACCCUCUCCAUCCUCCACCGCCAGCAGCAGCAAAAACAAAAUCACACACAGAAAAACUAAGAACAUGGUUUGAGGGAGAAGUGAGUUGGAAGCUGAGUUCAAGAUUGUCCUAACCCAGGACAAUUUGGCUUAAAACAGAAAAGGGAAAUGGCCAUAAACAUCUCUCAGGAAGGGUGGGGCCUCUGGUGGAAAGACAACAUCAAGGCACAGGCUAGGAUUUUCACAGGAUUCAUGCUAGCAAAAUGUUAUACAAGAAAGGUAAUUUUUGCAUCCUUGCCCAGACUGCAUUGAGAAAGACUAGUCAGAAAGUUACUGGUAUGGUUUUAAAGUGGUUAAUGCCUUGUUAUUAGGUGAGAACAGGGUGAAAGGGUGAUUCUCAGAACAUCUCAGUGGUCAAAUUCAGUAGGGAAUGGAGAGACAACCUCGCUGGCAUUUAGAGGUACCAAGACUCUACAUGGAAAAGAACAGUCUUUUCCGAUGCCCAAGAAAUUGGCUGAGAGAUGAUUUUGAUGGAAAAGUCCUGAAUGUGAUGAUAUACACGUCCUAUUAGCAUCAUUUAGAAUCAGGAUUCCAACGUUUGAAUACCAACUACCCUAUUUACUCUCUGACUUUUGUAAAAAUUUUAACCUCGUUGAGGGAGUUCCCGUCGUGGCACAGCAGAAAUGAAUCCAACUAGGAACCAUGAGGUUGUGGGUCCAAUCCCUGGCCUCCCUCAGUGGGUUAAGGAUCUGGCACUGCCGUGAGCGUGAGCUGUGGUGUAGGUUGCAGCCGCAGCUCAGAACCCACAUUGCUGUGGCUGUGGCAUGGGCCGGCGGGGCUGCAGCUCUGAUUAGACCCCUAGCUUGGGAACCUCCCUAUACUGUGGGUGCGGCCCUAAAAAGGACCAAAAAAAAGAAAAAAGAAAAAAAAAUUUAACCUCUUUGAGCUUUGGUUUCCUUUAUUUUAAAAAUGUAAAUAUCAAUAGCUACUUCACAGAACUGUUUUAAGGAUUAAAUAAACUUACACAAAAACACUUAAUGCCUGGUACAUACAUCUCAAAAAUGUUUCAAAACAUACCAUAUUACCUACCAUUGGGGGGGAGCUGGGGGAAGGGUCCACAGGACCUUCC